rnacentral:misc_RNA from 1 species
GUAUAGAUUUUAUAGGCACAGAGGCCCAUUGAAUACAUUCUAUGACAUACAUUGGGUAUAUGGAAAAACAUAGGCCUGGAAAUGUAAGAAAAGACGCAAAGUCAAUACUCAAACCUGAGUGGCUAGCACUCAGAGAGAUAUCCAGGUCUACAAAAGGUGCACGGGUGGAGAUAUAAAGAUGACAAGCGUGCACAUGCUCCCUAGAGAACCAGCAACAACCCAUCAGGUUUAUUUCAAUAAUGAUCCUUCCGCAGGUUCACCUACGGAAA